UACGAAGGGGGCUAGCGUUGCUCGGAUUUACUGGGCGUAAAGGGCGCGUAGGCGGACAGUUUAGUCAGAGGUGAAAGCCCGGGGCUCAACUCCGGAAUUGCCUUUAAGACUGCAUCGCUAGAAUUGUGGAGAGGUAAGUGGAACUCCGAGUGUAGAGGUGAAAUUCGUAGAUAUUCGGAAGAACACCAGUGGCGAAGGCGACUUACUGGACACAUAUUGACGCUGAGGUGCGAAAGCGUGGGGAGCAAACAGG
rnacentral:rRNA from 1 species